AGAAUGCAAAGUGUGUGCUCGUCUGAGGCUGGGAGUUGUUUUUCACACGGUUGACAUGGGUGGAACAACAUCCCGUGUACAGCACUGAAUCAGUUACAAAGAAAGGAUUUUCACAUAAGAGAAGUGUGUACCAAGAAAAAGAUAAUCGUUGGCUCUGACCCAUCGUGCUUCGGGGUUGAGACUUCCGCCUAAAUAUGUAUCAAGGUAUAUAUGAAGCUAUCUGACUGGCACAGUCAAGCAUGGACUAACAGUCUCGGCGUCAGUGGACUCAGUCAAGCGAGGACUGGUAGCCUACAGCACCGCUGAGCUCCGUGAUCACAAGCUAGGGAAUGGUAAUGCUGGAUCAAUGGGCUGGUGUGGAAGUCAAACGGGGACUGGCAUGACACCGCGAGUCAACAAGCGCCAACAACAGGUGCUGUACCUCGGGCCACAUUGGGUGUGUGCAGCGCAGGUCAUCGUUGGUGCGAUGCUCACACCAACUCUGCCAGCUCCUUAGCUUCCUCCUGGAGCCUAUCAUCUCCGCCACUUCCCGGCCCACCUCCACCACUGUUAGCCCCAGAGCCACCACCACCCCAAACACACGCCACCAGUCCUGCAGGGAAAACAUAAGGCUCCUCGGUUCGGAUAACAGACACAGAGAUGGCCACUGUCGUCCAGGAGACUAUAAACAGGAAGUUAAGGAGUAGGAGUAUCCAAGCCCCCAACCUACAGAGACACCAGUUUACUAUUCAGAGUGAAAUACUGAGCCACCAUUCAGUACUCUAUUAACAGUAGAUCCCUUCAGCUAUGUGUCUAACUGCGUGAAUGGUUAGGGCCUAUGGUAUAUUUUAUUUAUGACAGAGCAUGAGACUGGAGGGAGCAAGAGGGGUGACAGAGCCCAAUCUGGCAGGAGCGACACACCUGCCACUCCUGUCUGGCAAAAGUCUCUCUCAAAGUCUCUCUCUCUCUCACUGAUGAACUGACCUGCCAUAUAGUUUCCACUUGACAGUGAUGAGCUUCAGAACCACAGGGUGCAUGAUGAGAUCCAACUUCCCCUGGUGUACUAUGAACUCCAACUUUGGCAAGAGAGAGAGAAUUUAGAGAAAAUUCAUAUCGCAAUUAUGAUCAAAUUAGUUGACUUAUUUGACUCAUCUUAGUUUUCAUCCAUUAUCACUUUAUUAGCCUGUUUAGCCUUAAAGAGUGGGACAUACUGGUGAUGUAGGCUCACUGGCAACACCCUCUGGAAGACAAAAAAUAGAAAUGAGAGAUCGCACAAAUAGUUUAGAAGUCUGUUGCACGGUUUGACCCCCAGAGUUAGGUGGUUAAACAGAGUGUGUUUUUAUUAGUGGGAUCAUUGACCAUAUAGGACAUUUUAUUCUGUGUAAAUAGUAUAUAUUUUUUUCAGACUAUACCUUGUGAGCCCUGUCCUGGUGGAUUCUGCUUGCUGGGUGGCUCUGGCUCCAGCAGGUGAAGGUAGUAGAACUGCUGCCUGGUCAUCCGGUCAGUCACAUGGAACUGGUUUAGAGCCAAAUGAGCCUGACAAGACCAAAGAGAGCUGAACAAUACUAUAGGAUGACCACGUACAGAACCCACUCUAUGACAACAACUAGCACAUUGUCAGGACAAACUACACAGUUGGAGCAUGUGCUACAGUAUGAUGACUCAUUUGGGUCAGUGACCAUCCGACCCAUAUUUACCACGGAGGUCAUCUUGUCAAUCAUGGCGGUGAUGCAAAGUUGACCAUCGGAGUCCUUCACCCCAGCAUCAGCCCCCAGUUCCAUUAGUGUCCGUGCAGCCUCACUCCUGUCUGAAUACACACAGGAGUACAACAAAAGAAGCAUAAUCAAGUACAGCAAUAACUGUGUAAUGUACAAUUUAGUUAUUUAGGUGAGGUGGAGGGUACAUUUCCAUGUGUGUUUGGACAAUAAAGUUGUGUUUUAUUCUAUUCUAA